GAUGAACGCUGGCCGCGUGCCUAAUACAUGCAAGUCGAGCGAACAGACGAGGAGCUUUCUCCUCUGACAUUAGCGCCGGACGGGUGAGUACCACGUGGAUAACCUACCUAUAAGACUGGGAUAACUUCGGGAAACCGUAGCUAAUACCGGAUACUAUAUUGAACCGCAUGGUUCAAUAGUGAAAGACGGUUUUGCUUUCACUUAUAGAUGGAUCCGCGCCGCAUUAGCUAGUUGGUAAGGUAACGGCUUACCAAGGCAACGAUGCGUAGCCGACCUGAGAGGGUGAUCGGCCACACUGGAACUGAGACACGGUCCAGACUCCUACGGGAGGCAGCAGUAGGGAAGCUUCCGCAAUGGGCGAAAGCCUGACGGAGCAACGCCGCGUGAGUGAUGAAGGUCUUCGGAUCGUAAAACUCUGUUAUUAGGGAAGAACAAAUGUGUAAGUAACUAUGCACGUCUUGACGGUACCUAAUCAGAAAGCCACGGCUAACUACGUG
rnacentral:rRNA from 1 species